GGACAACCCUACUAGCAAUGAGAAUGAAAAAGUGUGCGACUUUCAGGCGAGGGGCAUGUAGAAGCAUGGGGAGACGGUUGGAAAUUCGCGGAAUUGCUCGGAGGCGCGAGCGUGUUUUGGUUUCUACACAGUUUUUGCACUCACACAAUUACACAUGUGUGAAUGUGUGCGUUCACUUUCAGCCUGCGCGCUCAGUUUGGUUUUCUCGCAGCGGCAUGCGGGUAUCGGUGUCUCGCUCGCACUAGUGCAGCGAGUGUUCCUCUGUGCGCUCCCCUUCUUGCCACCACACGAAAUCGUCAGUUCAGCUCAAGCGUUCGCCGUGAAAGGCUGCGCGCGUGUUAGCCUAAGUCCCGGGCGAUCGAAGUUUCGCUAAGUGUUGAAGUGUUGUGCACAUUGAAAUGAAGCUGCGCUUUUCUUUCACCAUUUAUCUUAAAUGUGUGAUAUGCGCUGCUUUAUUUCAAUGUUUAUUUUUGCUGUAUCGAACAUCAACAACGGGAUCCACGCAGUUUGACGGCUCUUUGAAAUACGACGAUUUUUUUAUAUUAAGAAUUUGUGUGAUUUUGUGGCAAGAUUGUGUGAAGCUAUGUGUGAAAAUGCCCCUUUAUUUGCAAUAAAAGUGAUAAAAUAUAAACCAA